rnacentral:rRNA from 1 species
AAUGACUCUCGGCAACGGAUAUCUCGGCUCUCGCAUCGAUGAAGACGUAGCGAAUGCGAUACUUGGUGUGAAUUGCAGAAUCCCGUGAACCAUCGAGUCUUUGAACGCAAGUUGCACCCGAAAGCCGUCAACGCCGAGGACACGUCUGGCUGGGUGUCACGCAACG